AGUGAACGCUGGCGGUAGGCCUAACACAUGCAAGUCGAACGGCAGCACAGUAAGAGCUUGCUCUUACGGGUGGCGAGUGGCGGACGGGUGAGGAAUACAUCGGAAUCUACUUUUUCGUGGGGGAUAACGUAGGGAAACUUACGCUAAUACCGCAUACGACCUACGGGUGAAAGCAGGGGAUCUUCGGACCUUGCGCGAUUGAAUGAGCCGAUGUCGGAUUAGCCAGUUGGCGGGGUAAAGGCCCACCAAGGCGACGAUGGGUAGCUGGUCUGAGAGGGUGACCGGCCACGCGGGGACUGAGACACGGCCCAGACUCCUACGGGAGGCAGCAGUGGGGAAUAUUGCAGCAUGGUCGGAAGCCUGAUGCAGCAACGCCGCGUGAGGGAUGACGGCCGUCGGGUUGUAAACAUCUUUUAGCAGGGAAGAAGCGAAAGUGACGGUACCUGCAGAAAAAGCACCGGCUAACUACGUG
rnacentral:rRNA from 1 species